AUGCUCUACAUAGUCGGCCUCGGCCUCGGCGACGAGCGCGACAUCACGGUGCGGGGGCUCGACGCCGUCCGCCGCUGCGCCAAGGUCUACAUGGAGGCCUACACCUCCCUCCUCUCUCUCGGCCUCGACCCCGCCUCGCUCGCCAACCUCGAGAAGAUGUACGGCAAGGAGAUCACGGUCGCCGACCGCGAGAUGGUAGAGGAGCGCGCGGACCAGAUGCUGAGCGAGGCCGCGGAAGCCGACGUCGCCUUCCUCGUCGUCGGCGACCCGUUUGGGGCGACCACACACACUGAUUUGGUUGUUCGUGCCAAGAACAUGGGGGUAGAGGUUAAGGUUAUCCACAAUGCAUCUGUCAUCAAUGCUAUUGGCGUUUGUGGGUUGCAACUUUACCGCUAUGGAGAGACCAUCUCUAUACCUUUCUUCACAGAGACAUGGAGACCGGACAGUUUCUAUGAGAAAAUUCAGAACAGUCGUCGACUUGGCUUGCAUACUCUUUGCCUACUAGACAUCCGUGUUAAGGAGCCAACACUUGAGUCCUUAUGCAGAGGAAAGAAAGUGUACGAACCAGCAAGAUUCAUGACCGUGAACACUGCAAUAAGUCAGCUUUUGGAGGUGGAGGAACUGCAUGGGGGAUCUGCAUAUGGUCCAGAUUCGCUAUGUAUGGGUGUAGCUCGCCUUGGAAGCGAUGAUCAGAAGAUUGUGGCUGGCCCCAUGAAGAAACUACUAGAUGUUGAUUUUGGACCACCCCUUCACUGUCUCAUUAUAGUGGGAGAGACUCACCCUGUGGAACAAGAGAUGCUAGAAUUCUACAUGAUCAAGUAG
rnacentral:rRNA from 1 species